ACAAGUACCGUGAGGGAAAGUUGCAAAGCACUUUGAAGAGAGAGUUAAAGAGGACGUGAAACCGGUAAGGUGGAAACGGAUAGAGUCGGCGUAUCAUUCAAUUAUUCAGUUACAUUAUUUUUAUGUUGUGACCUCUGAGCUCCAGAUUGGGACAGAGGGAAUCAGCAUAAUUUAUUGUGGUGCAUUUACUUGAUUGGUGCUUGGGGAUGUUUGAGGCAGAUUUGUUUCCGUCGUUUUGAGGCCAGCUUGCUGGUACCCAAACGGUGUUAGCAUUUUUUGUCUUGGGCAUUUGAGUAUGGCUCACGUGUAUUUAUUGGACAGAUCUGAGUGUAAGUUACGGUCGCAUGCGACACGUGCUUUUCAAUUAGUUCGGUCCAGUUAAUGCUCUCGUACUCGUUCCCCAUGUAAAAGCCGGUCAUCUAUCCGACCCGUCUUGAAACACGGACCAAGGAGUUUAUCGUGUGCGCAAGUUUUUGGGUGUUAAAAACUUAAAAGCGAAAUGAAAGUAAAUGACUCUUUAGAGUCUGAUGUGCGAUCUUGUAAAAAAGUGUAGCAUGGCCCCAUUCUAGCUGUUUACAGUAGGGUGGCGGAAGAGCGUACGCGGUGAGACCCGAAAGAUGGUGAACUAUUCCUGAGCAGGACGAAGCCAGAGGAAACUCUGGUGGAAGUCCGAAGCGGUUCUGACGUGCAAAUCGAUCGUCUGACUUGGGUAUAGGGGCGAAAGACUAAUCGAACCAUCUAGUAGCUGGUUCCUUCCGA
rnacentral:rRNA from 1 species